CCCCAGAGUCUGGAAUAAACCGGCCGAAAGGCUGGCUAAUACUGGAUAGAGCGAUGGAAUCCGUAAAUGGGUUUUUCGGGAAAGGGAGCUCGCAAGAGCCUUCGCUUUGGGAUGAGCCUGCGUCUCAUUAGCUAGUUGGUGAGGUAACGGCUCACCAAGGCUUUGAUGGGUAGCUGGUCUGAGAGGAUGAUCAGCCACACUGGAACUGAAACACGGUCCAG
rnacentral:rRNA from 1 species